AAAGAAAGCAAAAGUUGUUUACCUCUCUCAUUACUUGUCUGCAGGCCCCACAGGGCACGAUGAAUUCCUCUUCACUGUUGCUAUCGAAGGAGAAUAGAAUGCACAGACCAACACGGCUUCUACUCUGAAACCUGUCAUCAUGAGAUUUGUAAUAGAAUCCGAAGGUCUGGCAAUACUGAUCUUGGGAGACAGACCUGUCCUCGCUUACAGACAACCCCCC